AGCUGGGGUCAUCUAGACCCAGCACUCUUUCCUGCUUAUGCAGGGGGUUGGACUUGAUGAUCUAUUGAGGUCCCUUCCGACCCUAACAUCUAUGAAUCUAUGAAGACGAGUCCUGCUCUGUCACCAGUCUGAAUCAACUUCAAAAUAGUAGACUGUUAUGAAUGUACUCUUUUUAUUAAUGCCUUACUGUGUUUCCUGAGUAGAGCAUGUCUACUAUCCUUAUUACCCAGAUAUUAAUGAACUUGCUCCUGAAGACCUCAAGGAGUAGCCUGACCUUGAAGAGCAUCUCCCGGAAAUGCGUUCAGAUAGCCUUCACGUAGUCCAGCUGCAGUAUUCAUACUAGAAGAAACCCGCCACCCUAGACAGGCAGCUGAGACACCCUGACAUCUCAUGGGAAGAGCGCUCGGCCAAAUCCGAGUGGUUGCAAAGCUUUCUCUCAUGCAUGGAUGAGCUCUAACUAAUGCAAGAAGUCUGUGGGCCGACGAGAGGCAAAACACUGCUCGACCUGGUACUGGCAACGGGGGAUGACCUAAUCAGCAACCUAACAAUUGAAGGGAAGCUGAGCGACAGAGACCAUGAGCUGAUCACCUUCACCAUCUGCUGUAAAGCUGGCAAGUCAGUCGGCAAUACAGAAGUCCAUGACUUCAGGAAAGCUGACUUUGACAAGCUGGGGAGGCUUGUCAGUGAGGCCCUAUGGGACCACAACCCAAAGGGGAGGGAGUUCAAGAUGAGUGGUUGCUCCUCAAGGGAGCAAUCCUCAAUGCACAAGCUAAGUCUAUUCCGUCUCGGAGGAAAGGCAGCAAAAGGGCACAGCAGUCCCCUUGGCUCUGCAGGGAACUAGUGGACCUCCUGCAUCUAAAAAGGAAGACCUACAAAGGACUAGAUCCACCUCCAAGGAGGAAUACUCUGCACUGGUCCGGACCUGCAGGGAGCAAACCAGGAAAGCCAAGGCUGAGACUGAACUCCAACUAGCUACAAGUAUCAAGGACAAUAAAAAGUCCUUUUUUAGAUAUGUGGGGAGCCGGAGGAAAAGCCAGGGCAACAUCAGACCCCUGCUAAACCAGAUGGGACAACUGACAACUAAUGCCCAGGAAAAAGCCAACUUGCUAAAUGGGUACGUUGCAUCGGUUUUUCACCAGUCCCAAGGGGCGCCCCUGCCCAUUACAGGACAGGAAUGCCUGGGUGAGGGUGAUUCCUUACCCUCCAUCAAUGUUGACUUUGCGAAGGAACACCUUGAGAGACUGGACAACUUCAAGUCAUCUGGCACUGACAGUUUACACCCCAGGGUACUCAAGGAGCUGGAUAGCGUCGUAGCUCAACCACUGGCACGGAUCUUCAAGAACUCCUGGUGCUCUGGUGAAGAGCCUAAAGGCACCCCAUUGGCCUUCUUCCAGCCUAUCUUCAAGAAGGGGAGGAAAGUGGAUCUGGCAAACUACAGGCCCAUCAGCCUGACCUCUAUCCCGCGGAAGGUCUUAGAAUAGAUUAUCAAAGAGGCUAUUCUUAACAGACUGGCCAAUGGCAGCGUCCUGAGGGACAGCCAGCACAGGUUUGUUGCGGGUAGGUCUUGCUUGACCAAUCUUAUUUCCUUUUACGACCAAAUGACCUAUCACCUGGCCAAGGGAGAAGAGAUUGAUGUUGUAUAUCUUGACUUUAAAAAAGCCUUCUAUCUGGUAUCCCAUGAUCACCUCUUGGCAAAACUGUCAACUGCGGCUUCGGGUUCACCACAAUCCGCUAGCUGGGGAAUUGGCUCCAUGGUCGGACCCAGAGGGUGGUGUUUGAUGAAAGUCAAUCAUCGUGGUGCCCCGUGACCAGUGGGGUCCCUCAAGGCUCUGUCCUUGGGCCUACACUAUUCAACAUCUUUAUUAAUGAUGUAUAGACAUUGGUAUCAGAAAUGGACUGGCCAAGUUCACCAACAACACCAAACUCUGGGGUAAAGCAUCCACACCUGAGGAUAGGAGGGCGAUCCAGGCUGACCUUGACAGGCUCAGGAAAUGUGCAGACGAGAACCUGAUGGUGUUUAACACUGAAAAACGCAAGGUUCUCCACCUUGGGAAGAAAAACCUGAAGUGUGCUUAUAGGCUUGGCAGUGCUACACUGGCUAGCACUAUGGACGAAAAGGACUUGGGGGUCAUGACUGACCACAAGAUGAACAUGAACCUUGAAUGUGAUGCUAGUAAAGCAAGCAAAAUGCUGGCUUGCAUCCAUAGAUGCUUCUCAAGCAAAUCCCAGGACCUCAUUCUUCUGUUGUAUUCGGCCUUGGUGAGGCCGCAGCUGGAGUACUGUGUCCAGUUUUGGGCUCCACAGUUCAAAAAGAAUGUGGAGAAGCUUGAGAGAUGUGCGUAGCUCUCCUCUGCACUGAUCAGAGGUGAAGAAAACAGACCUUAUGGUGAAAGGCUGAGAGCUAUGGGACUCUUCAUGCUGGAAAAACGCAGGGUCAGGGGUGAUCUGGUUGGCCACCUAUAAGUUUAUCAGGGGUGCUCACCAGGAUCUGUGGGAAUGUCUGUUCACUAGAGUGCCCUAGGGGAUGACAAGGUCAAACGGUCACAAACUCCUUCAGGACCAUUUCAGGCUGAAAAUAAGGAAGAACUUCUUUACUGUCCGAGCCCCCAAGCUCUGGAAUAGACUGCCGCUGAAGGUGGUUCAAGCAUCUACUCUGAAUACCUUCAAGAGAAAUUUGGAUGUUUAUCUUGCUGGGAUCCUAUGACUCCUCCUGACUUCCUGCCCCUGGGGCAGGGGGCUGGAUUCAAUGAUCUCCCGAGGUCCCUUCCAGCCCCAAUGUUUAUGAAAUCUAUGAAAUCUAUGAAAUUGAGUCUGCUUCAAUGGGUUGGAAUUCCAGUGCAUCUGAGCAGCCUCGAUGCUCAUGUAUAGGUGCCCAUAAUGUCUAUUUCCACAUCUUUAUUAUGAUUAUCCAUACUUCCUUUGCCCCCAUAGUGAACAUCCCUGUCCUUAAUGAAAAAUAAGACAAAGUAUUCAUUUAGUUUUUUUGGGUCAUAGCUAGAUUAUCUUUAAUGUCUGUUCCAAACUGACUCCAUAGCAGUCUCAUUUCUUUCUGUUGAUCCUAAGUAUGGUCUGUGGGACAAGGUAAGUUUGAGAGCUCUGCCCCAACAAAAUCAAGUAACAAAGAAAUGGUUAUAAGAAAACUUCAGUAAAAUCUCCUAACCUGAAAAUACAGUAAGUAAAUACAGAACCAUGCAAUGCCACUAAUUCAUAACAGAAUUCUGGUUAUUACAAGUCCAACUGAUGAACUGUUCUUAGCUCUGAAGAAGACAUGGUUACAAAUGAUCAAAUAUUUAAAGCUUUAAAAUGUUACAAAUGAUCAAACUAGUUAGAAACUAUUUUAACUAUUUAACUAUUUUAACUAUCAGCUCCUUGAAUGAGCUUUAGUUAAAGCGCCCCCGCUGCUGUUUUUCAGUGAGGGGACACUGAUGUACAUGACAGUCAAUUAUUUAGUACGGUCCAGCACACUCUCAGCAAGCUCAAUUAAUCAAGUCUCCUCAAACAUGUACUAAUUAGCACACCUUGGAACAGAGGUCUGUCAUGUGUAUAGGUGUCCUGUGAUUAUAGCUUAUGUCCUCUUUGAAGUGAUUGUUUAGCUAGUUAGGUCUGGAGUCCUUUUUUAUAAGGAUCCCUUUGUUUGGGAUACAAAUUGCAGAAAGUUUUGUGUUUUAGACAUUAAGAAAUUCUCCCCUAUGCUAAAAUCCCUGAGAUCCUUAAACAAGUAGCCUUCACUAACUAGUUUCCUUUGCAUCUGUAUAGUUUCAUGCUAUCAGACAUAGCAGGCUGUAGCCUAUGAAGGCCCAUUCCUCUCUGAGCAAGUUGACAUAUAAUGUGCCUAGUUUCCUUUGUGUAAUCAAAAGUUCUUUUGAGACUGAAAAUCUACUUUUGUUUAUAAUUCUGUUUACUGUAAAUGAAAUUAACUCGUGGUCACUCAAUCCAAGUUUAAUUCUAUGACCAACUUGUCUAUAGUUUUCUUCACUGCUUACCACACACCAGCAUAAAUUAACAUGAUCUCUGGUUGGUUUCACAUGACUAGGUGGUGAAGAAAUCUGUCAGCCAUCAUACUUGGAGUAAUUGUACAAUACUCCAAGGCUAGUAGUCUUUUAGGUCAAAAUCUUGUUAGAUAUUUAGUAAUAUUCUAACAAUAUUCCCAUAUUCUAAAACUAAUAUUUGUAUAAUCUAACAGUACUAAAUAUGGAGCCUUUGAAACUCAAAUUCUCAGCUGCUGAGCUGACCUUCUUGCUUUCCCAUUUGACUGUUCAUAAUAAGUUCUUGCUCUGUUGUAUGCGAAGUGUUACAGGAAAGAGAAUUACCAAAAUGAAUUGUAUAUGAAUUAUGAGUCAUUAUCUGUUACUAGGCAAUUGCCCAUCAAGAAUGAUGCAGAGGGAGGGGUGCGGGCAGGGACAGAGGCCUGCGUCUGCCCCCCCCCACCUCCAUCACCUUUGGGGUUGGGCCUGCUCCCCCUUCCUCCCCUUUGUCACAGGGCUGGGCCUGCCCCCUCUCCCUCCCUACUGCUGUUGUGGGGCCGGGCUGGGCCCAGAGCCCCUCUCCCCUACCCACUGCCAUUCUGAGGCCAGGCUUACCCCCCACCACUGUUGUGGGGCUUGGCCCAGCACUCCCCCUCCUGCUGCUGCUUCAGGGUCAGGCCAGGCUGGGCCCAGUGGCCCCCCCCACCCUCCCCAUCACUGUUGUGGAAUUGGGCUUGGUCUGAUGCACCCUCCCCCACCCUGCCCACUGCAGUUUUGGGCCUGGGCCUGCCCCCGCAUCCUCUCCGCUGCUAUUACGGGGCUGGGCCACAUCGGGCCGGACCAGGUUGGGCUGGGUUGGGCCCAGCAUGACCUCUCCCAACCCUACCUGCCCCCUCCACCCUCCCCACCACUGUUUUAGGGCCAGGCCUGCUUCCCCCAUGUCCACCCGGCUCACAGCCACCUGCCUCCCCUCCCCAUGAAUGAUGGGAGGGGGGUGUGGAUGGAGCACUGCCACCCAGCACCCUGUGCUGCUGCCGCAUCACUUGUUUCCCACUCUGUCCACUCCAUCACUGUUGCCUCUUGGGAGCAGGCUGGGGGUGGGGGGGCAGAGGCAAGACCAGUACAGCUGGCCUUGGCCCCCUGCUCCUUCUCCUCUGUCCUGACUGUCAUGGCAGCAUCAGGGCCUGCUCUUCCCCCAUGCCAUGGUGGACCCAGGCCUAUUCCCCCGCUCCCUUGUGCUGCCACUGUGGGUCCAACCUAGGCCCAUUCCCCACCCCUCUUGUGCUGCCACCACUGCCUCUGGCUCCUCCACAGAGCAGGGCAGGAGGAGGCAUCUGUAUGGCCUUGGCCCUGCUGUCCCUGCUAUCUCUGCUGUCAUGGUGGCAGUCUGCCACAGUGCUGCCGCCACCUGCAGUCCGAACAUUCUUGGAGCACUCUGAUUAGCUGCUGAGACAUCCAAUUAGAGUGUGAAUAAAGCAUUACAGACAGACAGACAGACUAAGGCUUUUAUAAUAUUAGAAUUAGAUGGAAUGCUAUGGUAAAAGAACUGUGACCUUUACUGUUUAUUUCUCAGCGUGUUUAUAUAAAAACUCAGGGCACCUACACACAUGCCAGACGCCUUCUCCAAUGUGUGCUAAUUAGCAAGCACUGGAGCAGGCUUGAUUAAUUGAAUCCACUGGAGUGUGGUAACUAGUAUGCUCCAGCAGCCUUACCAUCACAUAUCUUCCACAUCCCCAUGUGUCAAAAUGGUGGCAGGGGUACUUUAAUUAAAGCUCAUUGAAUGAGCUUUAGUUAAGCACCCGCACCACCAUUUUGAAGCAUGAAACACUGAAUAUAUGAGACACUGAGGGUGCUUUAAUUAGAAUGGCUCCUGAGAGCCACUUUAAUUCAAGCAUGCCCCCUACCACCCAUCUGGAACUCGUGUAAAGAUGCCCUUAUUUCAAAACCACUUUUGUAAUAGGGUAGUUACUAUUAGUUGCUUAGCUUUUUUUGCCUCAAGCACUGCAGUAUUAAUACACAAUGGGAGUCCUUAUAUGUGCUGGGGUGGGGGGGGAGUGUGCUUUAAUUAGAGUGGCUCUUGGGAGCCACCCUAUUUAACAUGCCUGCAGAAGCUGGUGUAUUCAGCAUACCAUGUUUAAAAAUGGCAGUGGGAGCACUUUAACUAAAGCUCAUUUGACAAGAUUUGGUUAAAGCACCCCUGCUGCCAUUUUGAAGCUUGGGAACACUGAAUUCUCAUGAUGCUGAGGCUGCUGGAACAUGCUAAUUAGCAUGCUUCAGCAGACUUGAUGAAUCAAGUCUGCUCCAACACAUGCUAAUUAGUUAAUUAACAUGUGUCAGAGCAAGGGGCGGGCACAUGGAUAGGUGCCCAAUGUUUGUUGUGCUGAAUCCUAUCCUAUGCAGCAUGCUAGUAUCACAAUGAAAUUUUGUCCACAGGAAAGUAUGGGCCAGCUAAGAAAAUGGGACAUGACCAGAGCACAGAUUCAUAGAUUUUUAGGGACUGGAAGGGACCUUGCAGAUCAUCGGGUCCAGCCCCCCUCCUCCUCCCCCUCCCUUUAGGCAGGAAGACAACUGGAGUCAAGUGACCCCAGACUGUCCAGUCUCCUCCGGAAAACCUCCAGGGUAGGUGACUGCACCACCUCUGGCGGGAAUUUAUUCCAGUCUGGACAUCCUGACUGUGAAGGGGUUUUUCUUGGUAUUAAGCCUGAAGCAACCUUCCACGAGUUUAUAUCCAUUGGUCCUUGUCUUCCCUAGGGAUGACCUAGUGAACAGUUUUUCACCAAGCUCCUGAUGCACUCCUCUGAUAUAAUGGUAAGACACUAUCAAGUCCCCUCUCAACCUUCUCUUCUUUAGGCUCAAGAGGCCCAGGUCCUUCAGCCUUUCCUUGUAUGGCUUGCCUUGCAAGUUCCUGAUCAUACAGGUGGCUCUUCUCUGGACUCUCUCAAGUUUUUCCAAAUCCUUAUUGAAGUGUGGCACCCAGAACUGGAUGCAGUACUCCAACUGCGGUCUCACCAGUGCUGAGUACAGUGGGAGUAUCACUUCCUGAGUUUUACACGAGAUGCAUUGGUUGAUGCAUGCCAGCAUGUUGUUUGCCCUGCUGGCCCCCACAUCACACUGAUGGCUCAUAUUCAUCCAAUAUACUUCAGCGAUUUUUGUUUAUUAGAGUGGACCUUUGGGUGUAGUACCGUGUAGUAGAAUUUAUAGCAAUGUAGUUCUGCUGCUUUAGGGAAGCACCCAGACUGAGGACCUAAGAGCUGCAAAGGUGGCUUUUAGGUAUAGAGCUGUCACAAAAGACCCAUUCAGAAUUCCAUCUGCUAAUUCUGUUAUAGGGUUCAGAACUCACUAAUCAUGUUUGUACAUGCUUGCUAUAAUCACAUGACAGUUGGCUCUGACACUUAUGUUAAAAUUUACUGUUUAUUCUUUUAUUUUCAAUGUCAUAAAAAAAUGUGCUUUACUACUUUGACUUAUAACAUUUGUGCAAUGAAAAGCCCUAUUUCCAUAUCACCAUUACCAUCCCUGCUUUGUUCUCCAGUGGUAUGCUCAUGAAUAAUGUUUGUUUUUUAAUUUCUCUAACUUGUGCUGAGUGAGACUUUCUCCCCCAUAAACAGUGGAUUUUAUUAUAAGUAUAAUAUUUUAUUUCUUGUACCAGGCAACUUUUUAUGAAUGUUGAGAUUACCUCUAUACUUAUUGUCUUGGGUUUGUGAGAAACUGUUAUGAGCUCCAGCUGAUAACAAGAUGAUCUCUAAAUAGUCUUUUAUUCAAAUUUGUAUGAAAGUUAAUAUAUUGUUAUGUUACAUCAUACACAUCUAGCAGCUAAUUUCUUAUAAAGAAAAGUGGCUUCCCAGCUAAAAUUUUAAUGGGUUCUUGAAA